rnacentral:rRNA from 1 species
AACGAACGUUGGCGGCGCGCCUAACACAUGCAAGUCGCACGAGAAAGGGAGCAAUCCCCGGUACAGUGGCGCACGGGUGAGUAACACGUGGAUAACUUUCCCUCGAGCGGGGGAUAACCUUCCGAAAGGAGGGCUAAUACCGCAUAAGACCACGGCUGGUUCGCCAGCUGAGGUUAAAGCAGGCCUCUUCAUGAAAGCUUGCACUCGAGGAUGGGUCCGCGGCCCAUCAGCUAGUUGGUGGUGUAAUGGACCACCAAGGCUAAGACGGGUAACUGGUCUGAGAGGAUGAUCAGUCACACUGGAACUGAGACACGGUCCAGACUCCUACGGGAGGCAGCAGUGGGGAAUCUUGCGCAAUGGACGAAAGUCUGACGCAGCGACGCCGCGUGGGUGAUGAAGGCCUUCGGGUUGUAAAGCCCUGUGGGGAGGGACGAAUAAGUCUGACCUAAUACGUCAGGCGAUGACGGUACCUCCUUAGCAAGCACCGGCUAACUCUGUGCCAGCCGCCGCAGUAACAC